GAUCUUUGGGAAAGGUCACGGCGGGCUGGAGAUCCAACUACAGACUUGGACAAUGAGCUUGAGAGGUUCUGGACUGGGGAACACUCGGAGGUGCUGGGAGAGGGGCCACGCCUGGAGAAAUCACGAGAACUCCACCUGCUUCCUCCCAAGCCCUGUCCUGUGCUCUCUUCCACUUGACUGCUUCUGAGUCAAAUGACUUAUAAUAAACCAUUAACAGUAAGUAAGGCGGUGUCUGUGGAUUUGUCCAAGCUGCACAGGGCUCUGUACUGUGGCUGAGGUCUGAAGCAGGGGCUCGCUUACAAGAUGGAAGAAGGCUUAACCCAUGGUAUCCAUCCAAACCCUGGAAAUUAACGCCAGAACUAAACAGACACUCGACAGUUAAACUGCCAUCUUUGGUUGUCGAUGUGGAAAACACCUCAGAACUGGUGUCAGAAAGAGGACUUGAUAGCACAGCUGUGGCUCACAGAAGCAUGUGCCUUGGGAAGAAAAAAGAAAUGAACCGGAAGAGAUUCCUGAGUGGCUACAUUGUUACUCACGGUACCAACCACAGCUACAGUGUCCUUAUCAGCUACUAAAGCUGGGAACGGAACCCAGGACUCUGUGUGUGGUAACUACACACUCUACCCUGAGCAAAGCCCUCUAGCACUGAAUCUUGCUUCUUAGAUGCUGCCAGUAGUCAGGCGUGCAUGGGCUGAUGCAGGUUUCCCAAUCACAGAUGAUUCCUGAGGGAACUGACAGCCUCGAAGAUGGGAUAUGAACCACCAUAAAGUCUAUUCAACUUGCAGUCACUCACCCAACUCCUCUCAAAAACGCCAGCCAAGGGGAUCGUCCAGAGAAAGCAAUAGCUAUACCUCACAUACAAAGCCAAGCAGGGCUGGCUUUAUGAUUGGCAGGAUAUCCACCGGCUGAAUACACUCAUUGCCAGGCCACGGUAAAUGCCAAAGUUACACAUGUCUGUGAGAAUGUACAGAGAAAAUGAAAAAGAGGACUGGGAGGAAGGUGAGGAUUUUCUUUCUUGUGAUGUCAUGAAGAAUGCGCCGUCGGUGUUAAAAUGGAGUGUGAAACUCUCUGGAGUUUCUGUGAGAAGGCAAGGCAGAGGGAGGGAUUCAGGAGAGGUUACUUGGAAUACUCUUGUUGGGUUUGGGGACAGAGGAUUGGUUUCUGGUUGUCCAGUAAGAGGCCUUAAGUUAAUUUAAGGCUUGGUAUAGGAGCUGGGAACAAGGAUGUAAUUGCUGGUGUAGACUCAGGAGUAAUUGGCUUGAACACACACACACACGCACGCGUGCGCGCGCACACACACUCACUCCCAAUCAAGAGCAUUAUAAUCUCUCCGAAUUGCACAGCUCCAAGAAGGGCAGUCUCCCCCUGGCUCUCUAAGACCCCCAAUGCCAGAGCAUGAAGAACACAGGAAAUAGGAAAAUGAGGCUGACACCCCGAGUUUGAUCGCGAGUAAACUGACUCCCACGGAUGUCUUCUGACCUUCAUAGACACCUUUACCCCCAAUAACAAUAAAUUAAAAUUUUUAAAAUAAUUGAAUU